rnacentral:rRNA from 1 species
UACAGAGGUGGCAAGCGUUGUUCGGAAUUACUGGGCGUAAAGGGCUCGUAGGCGGCUUGGUCAGUCCCGUGUGAAAUCCCUCGGCUCAACUGAGGAACUGCACGGGAAACUGCCUGGCUUGAGUUCGGGAGAGGGAAGCGGAAUUCCGGGUGUAGCGGUGAAAUGCGUAGAUAUCCGGAGGAACACCGGUGGCGAAGGCGGCUUCCUGGACCGACACUGACGCUGAGGCGCGAAGGCCAGGGGAGCAAACGGG